rnacentral:rRNA from 1 species
AACGAACGCUGGCGGCAUGCCUAACACAUGCAAGUCGAACGAGACCUUCGGGUCUAGUGGCGCACGGGUGCGUAACGCGUGGGAACCUGCCCUUAGGUUCGGAAUAACUCCCCGAAAGGGGUGCUAAUACCGGAUAAUGUCUUCGGACCAAAGAUUUAUCGCCUUUGGAUGGGCCCGCGUUGGAUUAGCUAGUUGGUAGGGUAAAAGCCUACCAAGGCAACGAUCCAUAGCUGGUCUGAGAGGAUGAUCAGCCACACUGGGACUGAGACACGGCCCAGACUCCUACGGGAGGCAGCAGUGGGGAAUAUUGGACAAUGGGCGAAAGCCUGAUCCAGCAAUGCCGCGUGAGUGAUGAAGGCCUUAGGGUUGUAAAGCUCCUUUACCCGGGAUGAUAAUGACAGUACCGGGAGAAUAAGCUCCGGCUAACUCCGUG